rnacentral:rRNA from 1 species
GACGAACGCUGGCGGCGUGCUUAACACAUGCGAGUCGAACGAUGAAGCCGGAGCUUGCUCCGGUGGAUUAGUGGCGAACGGGUGAGUAACACGUGAGCAAUCUGCCCUUGACUCUGGGAUAACUGCGGGAAACUGUAGCUAAUACCGGAUACGACACCUUGGGGCAUCCCAGGGUGUGGAAAGAAUUUCGGUCAAGGAUGAGCUCGCGGCCUAUCAGCUAGUUGGUGAGGUAAUGGCUCACCAAGGCGACGACGGGGAGCCGGCCUGAGAGGGUGGCCGGCCACACGGGAACGGAAACGCGGUCCAGACUCCUACGGGCGGCAGCAGUGGGGAAUAUUGCCAGAUGGGCGAAAGACUGAUGCAGCAACGCCGCGUGAGGGAUGAAGGCCUUCGGGUUGUAAACCUCUUUUAGCAGGGAAGAAGCGAAAGUGACGGUACCUGCAGAAAAAGCACCGGCUAACUACGUGCCAGCAGCCGCCGUAA